ACACUAUCUCUGGGGCUGCAAAGUGGUCUUCUGCUGGCUGUUCCCAUCCCUGAGGAACAUGCAGCCACGGGACAACAGAUAGAAGACGCCAUACAAACAGCUGUGACAGAGGCCAGGUGUCACAGGAAGAGAUGUCACCCCUUUUAUCCUUCAGCGAGUCACUGAGCUGACUGAAGGGAUGUCCUUGCAAGCCAAUAGAGCACUCAUCCAUUACAAUGCCAAGAUGGGCAGUCAGAUUGCAUGUGCCCUUUCUAAACAUAAAAAAGUGAAGGCAACUUCAGAGGUGAUACUAAGACCCAAAAGUCAAAGGACAAGAGAA